GUGGGUUUUUCCAGGCAGUUGGAGAGUUAGCAGCAAAGGAUCAACUAGAGCUGAGCAAAAAAAUGAUUUUUCUGGUUACAGGUUUCUUGAAAAUGAACAAACCAGCACGAAUUUGUGAGCCAUUUCAGUGCUGCUAAAUCUGCAUUUUCCACUGAAAAAAGGGGUUUGGUCAGUUUUCUUUCACAGCUGUAGGAUCAACCUGCAACAGAGAAGACUCCUACAGGAGAUGAGGAGACUGUGUUUCAUCUUCAGUUUGGUGCUGCCAAUGACAUCCAGACUCUGAACCCAAGCUAUUCCCAGCCUGGCACCAGGACCAUCAGCUACACUCCAAAGGAGAUGCACCACAGGCAGCUGCAGGUCUGAGCCACCUGCACGAGGACAGCAGCCUCUCUUCUCUCCCUGAGAAAGCAUUGAGCUGGCAACCCAGUGGCUCAGCAAGAGGCAGAAGCAGAGCUGGGCUCUUCCUGUAAAGGAAUAGAGAGAGGAACAUUCUUCCCUUCAUCAGGCACAUCUUCUCUAGCACAGCCCCUGAUACACAGGCAAAACUGCUGCCCCCUGGCUACUCAACCGUGACAGAAUUUAAAAAAAUAAAAGGCUCUGGUACAAGAGAAACUCCAUUUUGAAGUCCCCAAAUUCCAUUUUGAAUCCAUGGAUUCCAUUUUGAAUAAGCAAGAGUCACUCCAUCACCAGAUGGAAGCUGCAGGUCACAUAGUGCUAAGUAUAGAAUUGGUGGGGGAAAGGUGGUAAACAACAGUGACUCAGCAGAUCAAAUAACGGUUGCGAGUCUAAAAACAGAACUGUCAAUUAGCCAAAGAAGAUAAGCAAUUAGGAUGAUGUCAUGUGUCUAAAAAUAGAAUUGAAAAACGGUAUAAAGGUCAGUGUGUCAGUUGAGGAGACAGUUAAGAAGAGAGAAAGAAGACCAGAGGGAGAUAAGACCUGUCCUAAUGAACACCUAAAGACUGUUACAAACUGCUGUCAGCAACCUGUGGAAGGCUGGCCAUUUGAAGUGGGGAGCAGUCACCUAGGAUCAUCUCAACUCUGUUAUUGCAGUUUGGGGUGCUCUUUAACAUGUUGUAAGGGAUUUGUGUUUUAGAUUGUUACUGUGUCAGGGUUGUGGUUAGCACCAAUAGAAAGGUGUCUUGUUUUAGAAAAGCAUACUGCUUGCAUCAAUCAUUUAUCAGUUGUGCCCAUGUCCUCUGGGGGUAACAGGUCUGAGAUGUUCUGGGGAGCUUCUGAAACAGAACCCCAGGCAAGCCUAAGAUAUUCCUUGGCCACUAUGGAGACCCAUCCCUAAUGAGAACAGAUUGGUUAUAACAGGUGCACUGUUUUAGGGGAUCCCUUGGAAAACC